rnacentral:rRNA from 2 species
AGACCCGAAACCCGGUGAUCUAGCCAUGGGCAGGUUGAAGGUUGGGUAACACUAACUGGAGGACCGAACCGACUAAUGUUGAAAAAUUAGCGGAUGACCUGUGGCUGGGGGUGAAAGGCCAAUCAAACCGGGAGAUAGCUGGUUCUCCCCGAAAGCUAUUUAGGUAGCGCCUCGUGAAUUCAUCUCCGGGGGUAGAGCACUGUUUCGGCUAGGGGGCCAUCCCGGCUUACCAACCCGAUGCAAACUGCGAAUACCGGAGAAUGUUAUCACGGGAGACACACGGCGGGUGCUAACGUCCGUCGUGAAGAGGGAAACAACCCAGACCGCCAGCUAAGGUCCCAAAGUCAUGGUUAAGUGGGAAACGAUGUGGGAAGGCCCAGACAGCCAGGAUGUUGGCUUAGAAGCAGCCAUCAUUUAAAGAAAGCGUAAUAGCUCACUGGUCGAGUCGGCCUGCGCGGAAGAUGUAACGGGGCUAAACCAUGCACCGAAGCUGCGGCAGCGACACUGUGUGUUGUUGGGUAGGGGAGCGUUCUGUAAGCCUGCGAAGGUGGCCUGUGAGGGUUGCUGGAGGUAUCAGAAGUGCGAAUGCUGACAUAAGUAACGAUAAAGCGGGUGAAAAGCCCGCUCGCCGGAAGACCAAGGGUUCCUGUCCAACGUUAAUCGGGGCAGGGUGAGUCGACCCCUAAGGCGAGGCCGAAAGGCGUAGUCGAUGGGAAACGGGUUAAUAUUCCCGUACUUGGUGUUACUGCGAAGGGGGGACGGAGAAGGCUAUGUUGGCCGGGCGACGGUUGUCCCGGUUUAAGCGUGUAGGCUGGUUUUCCAGGCAAAUCCGG